AGAGUUUGAUCAUGGCUCAGAUUGAACGCUGGCGGCAUGCCUUACACAUGCAAGUCGAACGGCAGCACGGGAGCAAUCCUGGUGGCGAGUGGCGAACGGGUGAGUAAUGUAUCGGAACGUACCUUUCAGUGGGGGAUAACGUAGCGAAAGUUACGCUAAUACCGCAUAUUUUGUGAGCAGGAAAGCAGGGGAUCGCAAGACCUUGCGCUGAUUGAGCGGCCGAUAUCAGAUUAGCUAGUUGGUGAGGUAACUGCUCACCAAGGCUACGAUAGGUAGGGGAUCUGAGAGGACUACCCCCCACACUGGUACUGAGACACGGACCAGACUCCUACGGGAGGCAGCAGUAAGGAAUAUUGGUCAAUGGGGGCAACCCUGAACCAGCCAUGCCGCGUGUAGGAAGAAGGCCCUAUGGGUCGUAAACUACUUUUAUACGGGAGAAAACCUGGGUACGUGUACCCAGUUGAUAGUACUGUAAGAAUAAGGAUCGGCUAACUUCGUGCCAGCAGCCGCGGUAAGACGAAGGAUCCAAGCGUUAUCCGGAUUCAUUGGGUUUAAAGGGUGCGUAGGCGGGUUUAUAAGUCAGUGGUGAAAGCCGAUCGCUUAACGAUCGAACUGCCAUUGAUACUGUAGACCUAGAGUAUAGAUGAUGUUGGCGGAAUAUGACAUGUAGCGGUGAAAUGCAUAGAUAUGUCAUAGAACACCGAUUGCGAAGGCAGCUGACAAAACUAUAACUGACGCUGAUGCACGAAAGUGCGGGGAUCAAACAGGAUUAGAUACCCUGGUAGUCC
rnacentral:rRNA from 1 species